CUGCAGAUAGUUGGGGCCAAGACGGUGCCUCUGAGUAUCAGAAUAGGCGAAGAGUCGAGUUUGGAGCAUCUUAUCAUUUGAAUAAUAGAUACCAGGGACAACAAGGGCCGGGUUGAAAGCAAGUUGUUCAUUCUCUGCAAAGAAGUUAUCAAUGUUCUUAUUCAGUACCAAACGGCCAACAGGCUGCAGGGGAAGAAGAUCUUCGGGCCAGGUCUUAGUAUCAUCAAGUGGGUCAAAGUCAAAUCUGUCUUCAUGAUCAGGAUCCAUUAUCUGAAUAAAAAGUUUCCACUCCGGGUAGUUGCCAGCUUCAAUUGAGUCAUAGAGAUCCUUGGUAGCGUGGCUGUGAUUAGCUCCUCCAACCUUAAUAGCCUCGUCCUCCAACAAACACUUGACUCCACAAGUGGGCUUCCAAUGAAAUUUCACGUAGUGUACCUUCCCGGCCUUGCUGAUAAG
rnacentral:lncRNA from 1 species